GCAAGUCGAGCGGUAGAGAGAAGCUUGCUUCUCUUGAGAGCGGCGGACGGGUGAGUAAUGCCUAGGAAUCUGCCUGGUAGUGGGGGAUAACGUUCGGAAACGGACGCUAAUACCGCAUACGUCCUACGGGAGAAAGCAGGGGACCUUCGGGCCUUGCGCUAUCAGAUGAGCCUAGGUCGGAUUAGCUAGUUGGUGAGGUAAUGGCUCACCAAGGCGACGAUCCGUAACUGGUCUGAGAGGAUGAUCAGUCACACUGGAACUGAGACACGGUCCAGACUCCUACGGGAGGCAGCAGUGGGGAAUAUUGGACAAUGGGCGAAAGCCUGAUCCAGCCAUGCCGCGUGUGUGAAGAAGGUCUUCGGAUUGUAAAGCACUUUAAGUUGGGAGGAAGGGUUGUAGAUUAAUACUCUGCAAUUUUGACGUUACCGACAGAAUAAGCACCGGCUAACUCUGUGCCAGCAGCCGCGGUAAUACAGAGGGUGCAAGCGUUAAUCGGAAUUACUGGGCGUAAAGCGCGCGUAGGUGGUUUGUUAAGUUGGAUGUGAAAUCCCCGGGCUCAACCUGGGAACUGCAUUCAAAACUGACUGACUAGAGUAUGGUAGAGGGUGGUGGAAUUUCCUGUGUAGCGGUGAAAUGCGUAGAUAUAGGAAGGAACACCAGUGGCGAAGGCGACCACCUGGACUAAUACUGACACUGAGGUGCGAAAGCGUGGGGAGCAAACAGGAUUAGAUACCCUGGUAGUCCACGCCGUAAACGAUGUCAACUAGCCGU
rnacentral:rRNA from 1 species